rnacentral:lncRNA from 1 species
AACUCACACAGCACAGGGGUCUGCUGCGACGGGAUCCACAUCACAAAAUCACCACAGGUGCUGGGCAGGUGGGGAAGACUGAGUCCUGGCCCAGAUUACGGGGUCUGACUUAAUCAAGACCCAUCACUGAAGAUGCAAAAUAAAGGAAGUGAGCAUUAGCCCCCGUUAGGUGCAAGAAAACAAGAACUCGAGUUCCAGGACCUGAGGGCUGUCCUGCACUGCAUCCACUCCUUCAUAGCAGCCAAGGUGGCCUCCGUGGACCCCGGCUUCAUGGACAGUCAGAGUCUUGCCAGAAAAUACAUGUACAGCAGCUAAAGGUUGUUUCUGUUGAGUGCUGAAAAAUUAAAUUAUUUUCGUAAGAAAUGAUUCUUUCCUGCAGAAUAUUGCAACUUUGUGUUGUUUUAUGAUGAGCCUAUAGUUGUGAUACCAAUAAAACAUGUCACUAGUUUCCAAAGACGGGUCCUCCUUGUUAAAUCUGACAUGGGGGAUGCCUGGU